UCCCUCUCAGGGUCGCUCCUGGAGAGGUUCUAGUACUCUACCGAUCUCGGCUAUGGGAGGGAGAGCCAAGCAGAGGCCUACCCAUUCCAUUCCUAGCUUGGCCAGUGGCAAGCGAGUGGAAGACAAUCUGAUACAAGU
rfam:Ornithorhynchus anatinus chromosome 1, whole genome shotgun sequence.